GGGGACUGGCAGAUUAUUGCAAAAGGGCACGGGGCAGAGGGACUAUGUUGUGAGCCUGCGAAAGAAGUUUGUGUGGGGACUGUGGGCAGUGAACGCGUUGGGAACAAUAUGGAAAACUGGGAGCCGCCUUGGAAUCUACAGGGCCGGGACCCACUCGAGCCAUCCACACUUGCCCCAGCCUCCUCCAAAACAGCACACUUUCCGGCUGAAGAAAAGAAGAAUGGUAUUCACGCAGUUCCCAUUUUACAGAUGAAAACAAGAGGACUUUUUCUGUGAAGUCAAGAAAGUGGUUACAAUGGUACUUUCAGCCUGUCCGAAUUAUGUAUUGCCCCUCCCCUUUUUAUUAAUAACAUUGAAGUGUGAUGGGACAACCACUGAAGCCGUCAGUUGAAACCUGCUGGGACUUUUUAGCCAUUCUCUUCAACAUAAAGAAUGGGUGUUUUUGGAGGGGGUGAGAGGAAUGGGGAAAUGUUGUCAAAGAGUACAACGUUUUAGUUGAGACAGGAAGAAUAUAUUUUGUUGAGAUCUACAGCACAGCAUGGUGACUGUAGUUAACAAUGAAGUAUUGUCUAUUUCCAAAUUGCUAAGACAAUAAAUUUCAAAUGUUCUCACCACAAAAAAGAUAGGUUUUGAGGUGAUGAAUCUAUUAAUU
rnacentral:lncRNA from 1 species